rnacentral:rRNA from 1 species
UACGUAGGGGGCGAGCGUUAUCCGGAUUCACUGGGUGUAAAGGGAGCGUAGACGGCCAAGCAAGCCAGGGGUGAAAGCCCGGGGCCCAACCCCGGGACUGCCCUUGGAACUGCAUGGCUGGAGUGCGGGAGGGGCAGGCGGAAUUCCUGGUGUAGCGGUGAAAUGCGUAGAUAUCAGGAGGAACACCGGCGGCGAAGGCGGCCUGCUGGACCGCGACUGACGUUGAGGCUCGAAAGCGUGGGGAGCGAACAGG